ACUGCAUGUUGACAAAGCACACAACAUAUUGAUAACAUGUUUUAAUGGGAUUUUAUUAAGUGCAAAAGACAUGUACAUUUAUAAAAAAAAAUCAAAACAUUUGGUUAACAUCUUCUGUUGUGAAAAAGUGAUUACAUCUGACAGAACGGCUCUACUCAUUUAUAAAACUUGAACCCUUUCCCUAUGCAAUACAAACAAAACUGUUGCCAUAACUUAACAUCUAAAAUUUGAGAAAAUUUUUCAUUAAGGCUUCAUUAUCCCCAUGCUUUUCGGAGAAAAAGUGGGGAUAUUGUGGUUAUCUCCGUCUUCCGUCCGUCCGUCUGUCUGUCCGUCCUGGCCACUUUCUCCUCCUACACUAUAAGCACUAGAACCUUGAAACUUACACACAUGGUAGCUAUGAGUAUAUGUGUGACCCUGCACUAUUUGGAAUUUUGAUCUGACCCCUCGGUCAAAAGUUAUGUGGGUCGAGGUGGGGCCGGGUCAGAGAUUUUUACUCAUGUUUAUGCCCCCGGAUCGAAAGAUCGGGGGUAUAUUGUUUUUGGCCUGUCUGUCAUUGUAUGUGUGUGUGUGUGUGUGUCCCAAAUCUUUAACCUUGGUCAUAGCUUUUGCAAUAUUCAAGAUAGCAACUUGAUAUUUGGCAUGCAUGUGUAUCUUCAAAUUUAUACUGAAUUUCUCUUAUGGUUUAUCUCAACUAUGUAUGGCCCCAUUACCAACCCUGGGGCACCCCGCCCACAUAGGCCACGCCCACCCAAAAUUGCCUUUUACUAUAAUUUCUUCAUUUCUACACCGAUUCACAUCUAAUUGAUACCGAACUUCUCUUAUGACAAUACGUUUAAUCUCAACUAUGCACAGCCCCAUUACCAACCCUGGGGCACCCAUGGGUCAAACAUGCGGUGUGGGGAUACACGUCGGCCUCUGCCGCGCCAUUUCUAGUUUAUAUUAUUGAAAUCACCCAUAUUUGUGUAAAGUUUGGAGAAAAAUCAAGAAAAACAUAUUUUAACAAUGAAAUACAUUUAAGUUGUUUGAUGAUAUUUUCAUGUAUUUCAACGUUUCCAAUGCCCAGAUAAAUACCCUAUUUGUACCCAUUGAAAACCUUUAAAACUUUAAUUUUGCAUUGUUAUUUUGUGUAAGGCUUGAAGAAAAAAGAUUGAUCUGUAUGCAAAUGUUUACAUUAUAUCUCACAAUCAUAACAAUUUCCAAUUUAUCGACAGUGGUGACCAGGUUUUAUCAUUAUUAUAUGAUUAUUAGUGCUUGUGAUCAUAUUUCAGAUGCCCAGGGGCCUUUAUGGUUGGGUUAGGGAGGGGUGCUCCCUCCCUUCCUUAAUUGAUUUUUAGCUCCACUCGCCAAAGGCCAGCAGGGCUUAUGUCAUGGUCUUGUGUCCGUCAUGCGUGCGUCUGUCCGUGCCUGCGUGCGUCCGUCCGUGCAUUAACUUUUCCUUUACACAUCUUCUUUUCCUAAACUACUGGUCCAAUUCUGAUGAAAUUUCUCAGUAAUGUUCCUUGGGUGAACCUCUUUCAAAUUUGUUCAAAUUAUGCUCCUGGGGUCAAAUUUGACCCUGCUCUGGGGUUACAAAAUUGAACAUAAUUAUGCUUAUAUAAGGCCUAUUUUGUGAAAUCUUUUACAAUCUUCUCAUCCAUAACCAUUGGGCAUAGGGCUAUCAAAUUUGGUAUGUAGAGACAUCUAAUAGUCCUCUACCAAUUUGUUCAAAUUAUGCCCCUGGGGUCAAAUUUGAAACUGCCCUGGGGGUCACAAAAUUUAACAUAUGCUUAUAUAGGGUCUAUUUUGUGAAAACUUUACAAAUCUUUUUGUCCAUAACCAUUGGGCCUAGGGCUACCAAAUUUGGUAUGUAGUGACAUCUUAUAGUCCUCUACCAAGUUUGCUCAAAUUAUGUCCCUGGGGUCAAGUUUGACCCUGCCCCGAGGGUCACAAAAUUGAACAUAUGCUUAUAUGAGGCCUAUUUUGUGAAAACUUAAAAAAUCUACUUGUCCAUAACUGUAUGGCAUAGUGCUACCAAAUUUGGUAUGUAUUGACAAGUAUUAGUUCUCUUAUUAGUUUGUUCAAAUUAUGCCCCUGGGGUCACAUUUGAAACUGCCCCGGGGGUCACAAAAUUGAACAUAUGCUUAUAAAUGGCUAAAUUACUGUAAAAUCAUUCUUGUUCAUAACCAUUGGGCCUAGGGCUACCAAAUUUGGUGUGAAGUGACAUCUUAUAGUCCUCUACCAAGUUUGUUAAAAUUAUGCCUCUGGGGGGGGGUCACAAAAUUGAAUAAACGCUUAUAAAGCGCCUAUUUUGUGAAAAUUUUAAAAAUCUUCUUGUUGAAAACCAUUCGGACUAUGGCUACCAAAUUUGGGUUGCAGUAACAUCUUAUUGUCCUCUACCAAGUUUGUUUAAAUUAUGUCCUUUGGGUCAAAUUUGACCCUGACCCAUGGGCCACAAAAUUGAACAUUAUAUACAUUUCUUUCUUGCUUAUUUUGUGAAAACUUUUAAAAUAUUCUUGUCCUUAACUCUAGGAUCUAGGGCUACCACAUUUUGUAUGUAGUGAGAUAUAGUAGUUCUCUAUGUGUCCAAUAAUUAUGUUGAUGAAGGUGGCAGUGGUAAUGACUUGAUAAGUCUGUGAGAUAUGAAUGCCAAAGUCUUCGUUUUACAUAACAUGAAUUUUUAUGUAAAAGUGGUGGUUCUUCAUACAUUCUACAUGUUCUUUGCAAAUGAUGACCUCUACAAAGUUGUUCCAGGAGUACCAUAUUGCCUGACAAUCUUUUGUUUUAUUGUUAACUUAAACUGUACUUGAUUCUAGCAUGCCACUAUACUUCUUUGAAGUAAUUUGAGCAAAUUUCUCACUGUUUAGUAAUGUAUACAUUGUUUUUUAAGGUACAUUAUAAUUUCACAUUUUGUAGGUGGACUUCAAUAUGUAUGAUCUACUUAUGCUGCCACAAUGUAAAGGCAACAAUCACUGGGUUUUGCUGGUUGCAAGUGUUAUGUCCAGGACUGUAACCAUUUACAACUAGUUGGGUGGUAACAACAAGGCCUUGUUCGAUUUGUUCUGCCAGUUCAUGUGUCAACGAGCGCAAAUUGUGAAAGAUGGCUUGGAAAAAUUCAGUUCAGAGUUCAAAGCGCAACCUUGCAACAAACAGCGCCAUGGAAACAGCUGUGGAGUGUUUGCAUUGAUGACUGCCAAAUCUUUGGUCAAAACAGCAUCUCACAAUGUUGCGACAGGCCCAUGAUGCAGUUUAUCGAGACUAGUCGUGAGAUGCAGACUUCUGAUUCAUGGAGUGCGGCAAACAUAUCUGUGAGACUCGAUCACUCCACUGUAAAGACCCGCACAGCAUUAAAAUGGAUAUUAUCAA